UCGAGAAUUAUAAUACAAGACUUGCAAACGAAGAAAGUUUUUAAUUUCUACCACGAUAAUUGGCUAGGAAUACAAAGUGGCACUGCCAAAGUUUGUUUAUCAAUCAAGUCAAGUUACGAAUUGAAGCAACAAUUUUUACUUAGAACAAGCCAAGAUUUACGUAGAGGGCAUUUGUGGAUCAGUAUAAUUUCAAAACCACCAUGUAGUGAUUUCACGAGGGUUCAAAGAUUAUCAUGCGCAUUGUCUUUAUUGCUUUGUACAAUGUUGUCCUGUCUAAUGUUUCAUGGAAUUCCCACUGAAGAAACGAUUAGUUCUCAAGUAGCCAGUAUUCGAUUUGAAUUUUCCCUAAAAGACUUUAUCAUUGGUUUGGAAAGUAGUUUAAUAAUGUUUCCUAUAAACUUAGCUAUCAUUGAACUUUUUGUGCGAUCGAAGACAAAACAGCUACAUAAAGAACGAUAUAUGGAAAUUAAUGUAAACUGUCCAACGGCAUGUGUUGAAAAGGGAUCAGAUAAAAGAGAUCGUGAAAUUGUGGCAGUAAAACGAUGGAUGUUUCCGUGGUGGGUUAUAUACAUUGCAUGGACCACAACUAUUUUGACAUCUUUGACCGCAUCAUAUUUUGUUAUGCUGUACGGAUUGAAAUAUGGCUACUAUGAGAGUUUGAAUUGGCUGGUGUCCUUUCUUACAGCAUUUAUUGAUGAUGUCUUUUUAAUUGAACCUAUCAGUGUUGUGUUUUUUGCCAUGUUGUUUACAUUUAUAUUGAAACGGGAGGUGAAAAUUGAUUUUGGACCAGUCUUGAUUGUACACAAACCAGAAGAAAGCAAUACAUUAUUGCAGAAAAGAAGUAAUAUGAGGACAAUUAUCCCAGAACAUGCUUCAAAAAAAAGUCUGAAGAAAGCUAAACAAGAACUUGAUUUAAAAAAAAAAAUCCAGACAAAUCUUCAGGACAUAAUUCUUUACGUGUUUUUCACAUUUAUGUUGUUAUUUGUUGUACACAACCAUCGACCCGUGGAGAAAUGUUUCAUGCAGUCACAAGAUAUCAAUAAUAUUUUUAUCAAA